CCUACGGGUGGCAGCAGUGGGGGAUAUUGCACAAUGGGGGAAACCCUGAUGCAGCGACGCCGCGUGGGUGAAGAAGCGCCUCGGCGCGUAAAGCCCUGUCAGCAGGGAAGAAAAUGACGGUACCUGAAGAAGUAGCCCCGGCUAACUACGUGCCAGCAGCCGUGGUAAUACGUAGGGGGCAAGCGUUAUCCGGAUUUACUGGGUGUAAAGGGGGCGCAGACGGCGAUGCAAGCCAGGAGUGAAAGCCCGGGGCCCAACCCCGGGACUGCACUUGGAACUGCGUGGCUAGAGUGCAGGAGGGGCAGGCGGAAUUCCUGGUGUAGCGGUGAAAUGCGUAGAUAUCAGGAGGAACACCGGUGGCGAAGGCGGCCUGCUGGACUGCAACUGACGUUGAGGCCCGAAAGCGUGGGGAGCAAACAGGAUUAGAUACCCCAGUAGUC
rnacentral:rRNA from 1 species